CUGAAUUGAGGAGGGAGAUCACCCUGAAGCCUCCACCUCCCCCAGUAUAGGGACUUGGCAAUGAGACUGCACCUGACCCUGACACAGCGCAAGGCCUGGGCCUGCCACAGAAACACCCUGAGGCCUGGCCCCUCUGUGCCAUGUGCACCAGGUGUGCAGGG